AUGAAGCCUAGAUCCACUUCUUUAUUAUAUUUUUGGAGAACAAGAAUCUUUGUCUGGAAAUUCCACAAGUAUGCCUUCUGCAAGAUUAAAAGUGCCACAAAGAACAAAAAUGAGCCCAGAACCAGAUGCGUGCUAGAAGACAUCAGACAUGUUAAGUUUCAUCUCCAUUGACCUGGUAAGCCUGCUAGUAUAAAUAUACUUUUCCCUCUUUACAUAUUAUCAGCAGUAGAAAGUACAUGGCAGGUUUAGGAGAGCCAGGUAGAAUAUGGGUUUGAGUUCUGACUCCACCAGCUCAGCACCCUUGUGACCUGCAUGUUAGUUAAUGAGUGUUUAGAACGUGAACGUUUACAUUUUAUGCUUAGGACAAGUAGCUGAGGGGAGGAGGGGUCAGAACUACGGGAGCAACUCCCCUUUAGCACUUGCCAUUAGAGCAGGGCCUUUGUAAUAAUUGGAAGUUAAUAGGCCGAUGUGGCUGUGGUGAAGCCCUGGUGCAAUCCAUGCUAUUGGGGAUGGGGAGACUGGGACCCACGUGGGAAAUGGAAACAUAACAACAAACGUGGAGCACUUCCAGUGUUCCACCUUACAUACACUCAUCUGUGGCAGCAGGCUAUUAAGGUAGAUACUAUCUUCAUCAUCUUUAUUUUACACAUCUAGAAAUCGAAUCACUGCUAGGUAAAGUAAUUUGCCUGAGAUGAUGCAGCCAUGGUGACAGAGCUGGGAUUUGAACAGAGCCUGGCUUUAGCCUCCGUUUAAUAAACUUCACACCAAAUAUUUCUCCCAGAUCAGGAAGCCACAGCAUGCUGCUUUUUUGGGCUUCCUCUGCAACAGGCUCUGGGGUACAGGUCCUGCUCUCUUAUGAGUCCCAGACUGCUUUCUUAUGGAUGAAAUGCGAAUGCUGAUGUCUGCUUUAAAUUGUUAGUGGGACGAAUGUCUGCAAAGAGUUGCUGCUCAGUGAAGGAGAAAAAACAAACAAACAAACAAACAAAAAAGCUUUCGAGCUACUUUGAGAUACUUUAAGAGAUAUUAAAAAAAGUUAAUAGUCUGAAUAAAUUCAGUAGCAAAACCCAGAAGUUUCCACACCUAGAAUUUCUUUGCUUAAACUUCAUCUUUCUUGCCUUUAUUCUCCUCAGUAUAAAUUGUCUUAAGUUUUUUUUCUGAUUCUGGAGCACGCCAAGUCUCACUAAUGCAGGCCUCCACAACAACGAUUUCAGUACUGACCAAGUGGUUAAGUUAAAAGCCAGUGCCCUUAUACAAAGGCUGGGAUGUAACAAAAGCCCAUCCAGAGUUUUGCCUAGGCCUUUCCUGGGCCUUAAAGCAUGACAAAAUAAUGAAGGAAUCCUUAACAGGACCCAGUUAGGGUUAAACAAGUUUUAUUGUGGAUCUGAAGAAACUCCCCAGGCCUCCACAAAAGUUUAUUGGGGGUCUGAAAGAACUCCCUAAACCUCUGUGAUUUAGCAGGAGACAAGAUAAGGACAAUUACUCCAGCACCUGGGCCUAUUCAGAUUAAGUAAAUUUACUGAGGCUCCAGAGGAAGGUCUUUAGGACUCAGACCUUAGUGGUAGCUUAAAAGAAGUUAAUCACUUAUGUCUUGAGAUGAAUGCACACUUACAUGUAGACCUGUAGCUUAGAAGGUGUAUAAGCUCUGGAAAACUUGGUAAUUUUGAGUGGGUCUGGUGAUCAUUUCCAGGCCUUCUCCCUGUUACAGGUUGCAGAAAUAAAAACUCUCUUCCUCCCUAGUUUAUCUGCAUUUCAUUAUUGGGCCAUGAGAAAUAGCAGCCCGGCCCUCAGUUUGGUCUGGGAACAAUUCCUAAAGUAAAAUAUUUUCAUUGUAAAAAAAAUCAGAUAAUCAGAAAAAUAUAAAGAAGUGGAAAUUCCCUGUAAUUCUACUGCUAAGAGAAAAAGGCUGUGAAAAUUUCACUGUAUAUCCUUAGACUUUUCCCCAUGCAUUUAUACAUUUAUAGGCACACACACACACACACACGUAAAACUGGGAGAAAGUGGACAAAUUGCCUUUUUUACUUAAUAUAAUGUGGACAUUUUCCCAUGCCAAUGAAUAUAGUUCUCCGUCUUCUCAUAAAAAAUUAAAUUUUUAAUUUCUGUGAGUACAUAGUAGGUGUAUAUAUUUAUGGGGUACAUGAGAUACUUUGAUACAGGCAUGCAAUGUGUAAUAAUCACAUCAAGGUACGUGGGGUAUCCAUUACUUCAAGCAUUUAUCCUUUGUGUUACAAAAAAAAAUCAAUUUUACUCUUAGUUGUUUUAAAAUGUACAAUUAAAUAAUGAUUGACUAUGGUCAGCCUGUUGUGCUAUGAAAUACUAGAUCUUAUUUAUUCUUUCUAUUUUUUUGUAUCCAUCAGCCAUCCUCACUUCCCCUUCCUCCAACUCCCCCACUACCCUUUUCAGCCUCUGGAAACCAUCAUUAUACUAUCUCCAUGAGUUCAAAUGUUUCCAUUUUUAGCUCCCACACAUAUGUGAGAACAUGGAAAGUUUGUCUUUCUGUGUGUGGCUUAGUUUGCUUAACAUAAUGACCUCUCGUCCCAUCCAUGUUGCUGAAAAUGACAGGAUCUCCUUUUUUAUGGCUGAAUAGUACUCCACGUGUACAUGUAAAAAAUUUUCUUUAUCAUUUAUCUGUUGAUGGAUAGUUAGGUUGCUUCCAAAUCUUGGCUAUUGUGAAUAGCACUGUAAUAAAUAUGGGAGUGCAGACAUCCUUUCAACAUACCGGUUGCCUUUGUUAUGGGUAUACACCUAGCAGUGGCACUGCCGGAUCACAUGAUAGCUCUACUUUUAGUUUUCUUGAGGAAACUUCAAACUGUUCACCAUUGUGGUUGUACUAAUUUACAUUCCCAUUAACAGUGUACAAGGGUUCCCUUUUCUCCACAUCCUUACCAGCAUUUGUCAUUGCCUGUCUUUUGGAUAAAAGGCAUUUUAACUAGGAUGAAAUGAUAUCUCAUUGUUGUUUUGAUUUGCAUUUCUCUGAUGAUCAAUAAUGUUGAGCACUUUUUCAUAUACCUGUCUGCCCUUUGCAUAUCUUUUUAUUUUGAGAAAUGUCUAUUCAGAUCUUUUGUCC
rnacentral:lncRNA from 1 species